UGAAUAAACCUGGCAUGGUAGUGCAGCAC
rnacentral:piRNA from 1 species